AUGGAUUUAACUGUUGCCAUCAUCAUUGUCACCAUCACCGUCAUCGUCACCAUCAUGAUCAUCAUCACCACCCUCACCAUCCUCAUCAUCACUGUCAUCACCACCAUCACCACCAUCACCAUCACCACCAUCACCACCAUCACCACCAUCACCAUCACCAUCACCAUCACCAUCACCAUCACCAUCACCACCAUCACCAUCACCAUCACCACCAUCACCAUCACCACCAUCACCACCAUCACCAUCACCAUCACCACCAUCACCAUCACCACCAUCACCACCAUCACCAUCACCACCACCACCCUCAUCACUACCAUCACCACCAUCACCACUAUCAUCAUCACCAUCCUCAUCAUCACUGUCAUCACCAUCACCAUCAUCACCAUUAUCACCAUCCUCACCACCACCAUCACCACCCUCACCAUCCUCACCACCAUCAUCACCACCACCACCCUCACCAUCACCAUCACCACCAUCACUGUCAUCACCAAUGUCAUCACUGUCAUUGUUACCAUCAUGAUCAUCAUCACCAUCCUCACCAUCCUCAUCAUCACUGUCAUCACCACCAUCACCAUCACCACCAUCACCAUCACCACUAUCACCACCAUCACCAUCACCACUAUCACCACCAUCACCAUCACCAUCACCACCAUCACCAUCACCACUAUCACCACCAUCACCAUCACCACCAUCACCAUCACCACCAUCACCACUAUCACCACCAUCACCAUCACCACCAUCACCACCACCAUCACCAUCACCAUCACCACCAUCACCAUCACCACUAUCACCACCAUCACCAUCACCACCAUCACCACCACCACCAUCACCAUCACCAUCACCACCAUCACCAUCACCAUCACCACCAUCACUGUCAUCACCAAUGUCAUCAUCACUGUCAUUGUUACCAUAAUGAUCAUCAUCACCAUCCUCACCAUCCUCAUCAUCACUGUCAUCACCACCAUCACCAUCACCACCAUCACCAUCACCACUAUCACCACCAUCACCAUCACCACCACCAUCACCAUCACCACCACCAUCACCAUCACCACCAUCACCACCACCACCAUCACCAUCACCACCAUCACCAUCACCACCAUCACCAUCACCAUCAUCACCACCACCACCAUCACCAUCACCAUCACCACCAUUAUCACCAUCACCAUCACCACCAUCACCAUCACCACCAUCACCACCACCACCAUCACCACCACCAUCACCACCAUCACCACCACCACCAUCACCAUCACCACCAUCACCAUCAAUACCAUCACCAUCACCACUAUCACCACCAUCACCACUAUCACCACCACCACCAUCACCAUCACCACCAUCACCAUCACCAUCACCAUCACCACCAUCACCAUCACCACCAUCACCAUCACCACUAUCACCACCACCACCAUCACCAUCACCACCAUCACCAUCACCACCAUCACCAUCACCAUCACCAUCACCACCAUCACCACUAUCACCACCAUCACCAUCACCACCAUCACCACUAUCACCACCAUCACCAUCACCACUAUCACCACCACCACCAUCACCAUCACCACCAUCACCAUCACCACCAUCACCAUCACCAUCACCAUCACCACUAUCACCACCAUCACCAUCACCACUAUCACCAUCACCACCAUCACCAUCACCACCAUCACCAUCACCACCAUCACCAUCACCACCAUCACCACCAUCACCACUAUCACCACCAUCACCAUCACCACCAUCACCACCACCACCAUCACCACCAUCACCAUCACCAUCACCACCAUCACCAUCACCACCAUCACCACCACCACCAUCACCAUCACCAUCACCAUCACCACCAUCACCAUCACCACCAUCACCAUCACCACCAUCACCAUCACCAUCACCACCAUCACCAUCACCACCAUCACCAUCACCAUCACCACCAUCACCAUCACCACCAUCACCACCAUCACCACCACCACCAUCACCAUCACCAUCACCACCAUCACCACCAUCACCAUCACCACCUUCACCACCACCACCAUCACCAUCACCACCAUCACCAUCACCACCAUCACCAUCACCAUCAUCACCAUCACCACCAUCACCACCACCACCCUCAUCACCCUCAUCACCACCAUCACCAUCCUCACCAUCCUCACCAUCACCACCACCACCCUCAUCACCCUCAUCACCACCAUCACCAUCACCAUCACCACCAUCACCACCACCAUCACCAUCACCAUCACCACCAUCACCACCACCAUCACCAUCACCAUCACCACCAUCACCAUCACCAUCACCACCAUCACCAUCACCAUCACCAUCACCACCAUCACCAUCACCAUCACCACCAUCACCAUCACCAUCACCACCAUCACCAUCACCACCAUCACCAUCACCAUCACCAUCCUCACCAUCCUCACCAUCACCACCACCACCACCCUCAUCACCCUCAUCACCACCAUCACCACUAUCUUCAUCACCAUCCUCAUCAUCACUGUCAUCACCACUAUCACCAUCACCACUAUCAUCACCACCUUCACCACCACCAUCACCACCAUCACCACUAUCAUCAUCACCAUCCUCACCAUCACUGUCAUCACUAUCACCCUCAUCACCACCACCACCACCACCAUCAUCAUCACCAUCCUCACCAUCCUCACCCUCACUGUCACCACCAUCACCAUCACUAUCACCAUCAUCACCAUCAUCACUAUCACCACCAUCAUCACCAUCCUCACCAUCAUCACCAUCACUAUCACCAUCACCAUCACCACUAUCAUCACCACCACCAUCACUGUCAUCACUAUAACCCUCAUCACCACCAUCACCACUAUGAUCAUCAUCACCAUCCUCACCAUCACUGUCAUCACCAUUAUCAUCAACCAUCAUCGUCACCAUCAUGAUCAUCAUCACCACCCUCACCACCACCAUCACCAUCAUCAUACCAUCCUUUUUAUUACCACCAAUGUCAUCACCAUUGUCAGAACUGUCAUUAUUGUCACCAUUCUUAUCCCUGUCAUCAACAUUAUUGUGUUAGACUCAUUUUCCUGUCUCGGUAUUAACAUUUUGAGCACAUGA
rnacentral:lncRNA from 1 species